CCUACGGGAGGCAGCAGUGAGGAAUAUUGGACAAUGGGCGCAAGCCUGAUCCAGCCAUGCCGCGUGCAGGAAGACGGUCCUAUGGAUUGUAAACUGCUUUUGUACGGGAAGAAACACUCCUUCGUGAAGGAGCUUGACGGUACCGUAAGAAUAAGGAUCGGCUAACUCCGUGCCAGCAGCCGCGGUAAUACGGAGGAUCCAAGCGUUAUCCGGAAUCAUUGGGUUUAAAGGGUCCGUAGGCGGUUUAGUAAGUCAGUGGUGAAAGCCCAUCGCUCAACGGUGGAACGGCCAUUGAUACUGCUAGACUUGAAUUAUUAGGAAGUAACUAGAAUAUGUAGUGUAGCGGUGAAAUGCUUAGAGAUUACAUGGAAUACCAAUUGCGAAGGCAGGUUACUACUAAUGGAUUGACGCUGAUGGACGAAAGCGUGGGUAGCGAACAGGAUUAGAUACCCUGGUAGUCCACGCCGUAAACGAUGGAUACUAGCUGUUGGGGGCAACUUCAGUGGCUAAGCGAAAGUGAUAAGUAUCCCACCUGGGAGGUACGUUCGCAAGAAGUAGAAACGUUAAAGGUAAAGUUAGACGGCGUGAGACGUGCCGAACGGACGACGACGAGGGAGGUUAGG
rnacentral:rRNA from 1 species